UCCCUUAAACCCUAUCUCUCUCUCACACACACUUCCCAGCCGCAACCCACCCUGACAUUUCUCUCUUCCUCUCCCUCUCCCUCACGCUCACUCUCUCACUCACUCAACGGCGUGCGAGGGUUUUGGAAACCAGAUGAACGGCACGAACGACGGGCGGUUGUGGGUAUUGGGCAAACGGAGGGGACUUGGGGGCCGGUCAUGGGCAAACGGCGCAAACAAUAAGGGCUCGGGGGUCUUGGGAAAACGGCGCAAAUGACGGUCGUGGGUGGCUCGGUCUCACAGAGAGGUCGUGGGUGGUGGCUCUCUCUGUGUUAACGGAGAAGAUGAAGAAUGUUUCUUCUUGAAUCGGACCAGUAGUGCUCUGACUUUUAUGGGUCAUGGAGGCAGGAGAAAAGGCUGUGGCAGAGUCAACGUCGCCACCAAUGAUUCUGCUUUGGUGGAAGCUAUCGCUGAUGAUUAUUAUGAAGUCUUGGGCCUGCUCCCAGAUGCCACACCAGCACAGAUUAAAAAGGCUUAUUAUAAUUGCAUGAAAGCUUGUCAUCCGGAUUUGAGUGGCAAUGACGCAGAGACCAAUAAUUUCUGCAUGUUUUAAUGAAGUCUAUGGGUGCAGGUGCUUAGUGACCCCAUUCAGCGCAUGAUUUAUGAUGAAAUUCAUGGCUAUGCAUUGACUGCUAUGAACCCAUUCUUUGAUGAUUCAAGCACGAAGGAUCAUGCUUUUGUUGACGAGUUUAGCUGCAUAGGUUUGGGAUGUGUUGAGCAACGACGAAGUUGCCUCAAUUGCUUGGGAAGCGAAGAACGAGGAGGGAGCGGUGAGAGAGGUGGUUGAGGCGGCCAUCGGAGUGUGGAAAAGAAAGUCCCCUUAUGCCAAAAUGGAUGACUGCACUGUGAUUUGCCUCUUCUUUCAGAAAUAACAUUAUCCUGUUAUGUUCAUAGUAUAUUAAGAGUUAAUUAGUAUAAUGAGUUGAACUGUGAUUUUAUUGGACUGUCAUAUGUCUUGUUUGCAGGUUUUUAAAAUUUGGGGAUGUCCGAUUUGCUGCUGUUGUGCUGCCCAUUUUUCUAGAAAUUUACGGACUCUUGUCUAGUUAAUUUUUAUAAAAAUCACUCGUUUUAUAAUCGAUUAGUGUAUACAUUGUAUAUAUAUUAAUACUUGGUCUUCCAUCUAAAUAUUAUUAAUCUAAGGUCUCGGAUUAUAUAUAAUACAUCAACUAUCAAUGAGAAUGAAUUGAUAGGUUAAUUUGCUUUGCAACUCUGUUGCAUGCUCUUCCUAAUCGACUUAGCAUAUUUAAUUGUAUACUAAAUUAUAUAUCAUAUGCAAAAUAAAAAAUUGUUUUGCAAGCUGAAUUAUGAUUUUUUAUUUUGCGUAGACUUUCAAAUGUGAAUUAGAUUUAUAAAUUUGGAUUAAGUUUAUUCACAACUCGUUGUGUUACUUUAACAACUUUGUCUGGUAUGCUUGUGUUACUUUAACAACUUUAACAAAUGUCAUCUGGUAUGCUUGUGUUACAUAUGAAUGAUCUAUUAAAUUUAUGUUCUCGGUGCUCUUAUUUAUACUAUAUUAUCUUCUCUUUUCUUGCUAAGUACUAUGGACUUAGAAUCUGAUGCAUAUUACCUAGACAGUGAAUAUCUUUAUAUGUGUGUAUAUAUGUAUAUUAAUUUCUCGUUUA